rnacentral:rRNA from 1 species
UGAGGAAUAUUGGUCAAUGGACGCACGUCUGAACCAGCCAAGCAGCGUGCAGGAUGACGGCCCUAUGGUUUGUAAACUGCUUUUAUAUGGGGAUAAAGUGGGGAACGUGUUCCCUUUUGCAUGUACCAUACGAAUAAGGACCGGCUAAUUCCGUGCCAGCAGCCGCGGUAAUACGGAAGGUCCAGGCGUUAUCCGGAUCUAUUGGGUUUAAAGGGAGCGUAGGCUGUUUGUUAAGCGUGUUGUGAAAUGUAAGAGCUCAACUUUUAGAUUGCAGCGCGAACUGGCAGACUUGAGUGCGCACAACGUAGGCGGAAUUCAUGGUGUAGCGGUGAAAUGCUUAGAUAUCAUGACGAACUCCGAUUGCGAAGGCAGCUUACGGGAGCGCAACUGACGCUAAAGCUCGAAGGUGCGGGUAUCGAACAGG